rnacentral:rRNA from 1 species
GACGAACGCUGGCGGCAGGCCUAACACAUGCAAGUCGAACGAGUGGCGGACGGGUGAGUAAUGUGUGGGAAACUGCCCGAUGGAGGGGGAUAACUACUGGAAACGGUAGCUAAUACCGCAUACCAUCGGAUGUGCCCAGAUGGGAUGAGCUAGUUGGUGGGGUAACGGCUCACCUAGGCGCCGAUCCCUCGCUGGUCUGAGAGGAUGACCAGCCACACGGGAACUGAGACACGGUCCAGACUCCUACGGGAGGCAGCAGUGGGGAAUAUUGCACAAUGGGCGCAAGCCUGAUGCAGCCAUGCCGCGUGUAUGAAGAAGGCCUUCGGGUUGUAAAGUACUUUCAGCGAGGAGGCGUUACUCACAGAAGAAGCACCGGCUAACUCCGUGCCAGCAGCCGCGGUAAUAC